UACAGAGGGUGCAAGCGUUAAUCGGAAUUACUGGGCGUAAAGCGUGCGCAGACGGUUGCGUAAGUCAGAUGUGAAAGCCCCGGGCUCAACCUGGGAAUUGCAUUCGAGACUGCAUAGCUAGGGUGCGGAAGAGGGAAGCGGAAUUUCCGGUGUAGCGGUGAAAUGCGUAGAUAUCGGAAGGAACACCAGUGGCGAAAGCGGCUUCCUGGUCCAGCACCGACGUUCAGGCACGAAAGCGUGGGGAGCAAACAGG
rnacentral:rRNA from 1 species